UACGUAGGGGGCAAGCGUUGUCCGGAUUUAUUGGGCGUAAAGAGCGCGUAGGCGGCUCGGUAAGUCCGCUGUAAAAGUCAAAGGCUCAACCUUUGAAUGUCAGUGGAAACUGCCGGGCUAGAGUCCGGAAGAGGCGAGUGGAAUUCCUGGUGUAGCGGUGAAAUGCGCAGAUAUCGGGAGGAACACCUAUGGCGAAGGCAGCUCGCUGGGACGUUACUGACGCUGAGACGCGAAAGCGUGGGGAGCAAACAGG
rnacentral:rRNA from 1 species